UCCAAACUUCUUUGGUAUUAUAAACCAUUGAUUGGAAUAUAGAGCCAUAAAUAAUUUAAAUAUCUUUAUUUGUAUUUUUUUCUUUUAAUAGAUUUAUCAAUUUAGAUAAUAAGGCUUUUGAUAUAAAAAUUGGUUUUCAUUCCUAAGACAUGUGGAACAAUAAAAAUAACCAUUGAUGUAACAAUCUUUGGAUUAAUACAUCCAAUUUCAUCUGGUGAAGAGACAAAAACCUUACCAUGCUUAGAGAUUAUUUUUUGAAAUCUUUUCUUCUUAGGUUCUUUCAAGAAUUUACACCUCCUAAUCUUUAGCUUAGUCAAUAUCUCUUCUAUGAAAUUGUAUCCAAUUCUUCUUAUUUAUU
rnacentral:lncRNA from 1 species